GAUGAACGCUGGCGGCGUGCCUAAUACAUGCAAGUCGAGCGAAUGGAUUAAGAGCUUGCUCUUAUGAAGUUAGCGGCGGACGGGUGAGUAACACGUGGGUAACCUGCCCAUAAGACUGGGAUAACUCCGGGAAACCGGGGCUAAUACCGGAUAACAUUUUGAACCGCAUGGUUCGAAAUUGAAAGGCGGCUUUGGCUGUCACUUAUGGAUGGACUCGCGUCGCAUUAGCUAGUUGGUGAGGUACCGGCUCACCAAGGCAACGAUGCGUAGCCGACCUGAGAGGGUGAUCGGCCACACUGGGACUGAGACACGGCCCAGACUCCUACGGGAGGCAGCAGUAGGGAAUCUUCCGCAAUGGACGAAAGUCUGACGGAGCAACGCCGCGUGAGUGAUGAAGGCUUUCGGGUCGUAAAACUCUGUUGUUAGGGAAGAACAAGUGCUAGUUGAAUAAGCUGGCACCUUGACGGUACCUAACCAGAAAGCCACGGCUAACUACGUGCCAGCCGCCGCAGUAA
rnacentral:rRNA from 1 species